AGAGUUUGAUCCUGGCUCAGAAUCAACGCUGGCGGCGUGCCUAACACAUGCAAGUCGAACGAGAAAGUGGAGCAAUCCAUGAGUAAAGUGGCGCACGGGUGAGUAACACGUGACUAACCUACCCUUGAGUGGGGAAUAACUUCGGGAAACCGAGGCUAAUACCGCAUAACACCUACGGGUCAAAGGAGCAAUUCGCUUAAGGAGGGGGUCGCGGCAGAUUAGUUAGUUGGCGGGGUAAUGGCCCACCAAGACGGUGAUCUGUAUCCGGCCUGAGAGGGCGCACGGACACACUGGAACUGAAACACGGUCCAGACUCCUACGGGAGGCAGCAGUGGGGAAUUUUGCGCAAUGGGGGAAACCCUGACGCAGCAACGCCGCGUGGAGGAUGAAGUCCCUUGGGACGUAAACUCCUUUCGAUCGGGACGAUUAUGACGGUACCGGAAGAAGAAGCCCCGGCUAACUUCGUGCCAGCAGCCGCGGUAAUACGAGGGGGGCGAGCGUUGUUCGGAAUUAUUGGGCGUAAAGGGCGCGUAGGCGGUUGGAUAAGUCUUGUGUGAAAUCUUCGGGCUCAACUCGAAGUCUGCACGAGAAACUAUCUGGCUUGAGUGUGGGAGAGGUGAGUGGAAUUCCUGGUGUAGCGGUGAAAUGCGUAGAUAUCAGGAGGAACACCUGUGGCGAAAGCGGCUCACUGGACCACAACUGACGCUGAGGCGCGAAAGCUAGGGGAGCAAACAGGAUUAGAUACCCUAGUAGUCC
rnacentral:rRNA from 1 species